GGCGAACGGGUGAGUAACACGUGGGUAAUCUGCCCUGCACUCUGGGAUAAGCCUUGGAAACGAGGUCUAAUACCGGAUAUCACAACCUUUCGCAUGGAGUAUUGUUGAAAGUUCUGGCGGUGCAGGAUGAACCCGCGGCCUAUCAGCUUGUUGGUGGGGUAGUGGCCUACCAAGGCGACGACGGGUAGCCGGCCUGAGAGGGUGACCGGCCACACUGGGACUGAGACACGGCCCAGACUCCUACGGGAGGCAGCAGUGGGGAAUAUUGCACAAUGGGCGAAAGCCUGAUGCAGCGACGCCGCGUGAGGGAUGACGGCCUUCGGGUUGUAAACCUCUUUCGCCAGGGACGAAGCGCAAGUGACGGUACCUGGAUAAGAAGCACCGGCUAACUACGUGCCAGCAGCCGCGGUAAUACGUAGGGUGCAAGCGUUGUCCGGAUUUAUUGGGCGUAAAGAGCUCGUAGGCGGUUUGUCGCGUCGGCUGUGAAAUCUGGAGGCUUAACCUUCAGCGUGCAGUCGAUACGGGCAGACUUGAGUUCGGUAGGGGAGACUGGAAUUCCUGGUGUAGCGGUGAAAUGCGCAGAUAUCAGGAGGAACACCGGUGGCGAAGGCGGGUCUCUGGGCCGAUACUGACGCUGAGGA
rnacentral:rRNA from 1 species